UAAUUGGAUUCAACGCCGGAAAACUCCCCCAAGGCCGACUGCUAGAUGAAGAUCAGGCGUAACGAGCUUAUUGGAUUAUCAGAGAGGUGGUGCAUGGCCGUCGUCAGUUCGUACUGUAAAGCGUUCUGUUAAGUCAGAUAACGAACGAGACCCGCAUCCUUAUUUGCGACCCUCAUGUCCGCAUGAGGCGCACCAUAGGGAGACCGCUGGUGUGAAACCAGAGGAAGGUGCGGGCAACGACAGGUCAGUAUGCCCCGAAUGUCUUGGGCUACACGCGCGCUACAAAGGACAGGACAAUGGGAAGCCACGCCGAGAGGCGGCGCUACCCCGAAACCUGUUCAUAGUUCGGAUCGAGGGCUGUAACUCGCCCUCGUGAAGCUGGAUUCCGUAGUAAUCGUGUUUCAACAUAGCACGGUGAAUAUGCCCCUGCUCCUUGCACACACCGCCCGUCAAACCA
rnacentral:rRNA from 1 species